rnacentral:lncRNA from 1 species
CCUGUGCAGAUGUCCUAGUAUACAGCUGUACCUUCUUAUUCUUCUUCUUCUUGUUCUUCUUCCCUUUCUUAAAGGGUCAACGACUAGAAGAAGACCCUCCCAUAAUAUUCACCGACUCCUUAUGGAGCUGGUGGUCAUUCUCAAAGUUCUGCAGCAAUCUCAACAAGCCGUGGUAGUUCACUGCAGAUUUUGUCAUCCAUAAAUGAGUAAGGAAGGGGAGGAAGGACUUGGACAAAGAAUUAAGGAUCGCAUCCUUACCGAGCUGCUCGUGCAAGGAAAAGCCCAGUUUACUUAGGUGCUCAAUCAUUUCGAUCAUG